CCCUCGAUCUAUUCGUGACGCGAACGACGCAACCACCGCCAUCAUAGAUCCCACGCGCUAGCCGCGGAUCCCUUUGCAGCGUCGAGGGGUCGUGGAGGUGCCGCCUCCGAGGUCCUAAAGGAGGCGCCGCUGCCAUUGUUGUGGACCUCCGGGUGGCCAUCGAGACACCUCUGCUGAGGUACGCCUUCUCCUUCGCACGGUGAUGGGCAUGGUGGCGGAAGAAGGUCGUCUUCCUAGAGCACCGCACGCUGGCCGCAGUCUCCAUCCGCGUCCGCACCAACAAGACAGUGUUCCCGAAUUAGGUCAAGAAUGUACUGCUUACAUUGCAGACUGUAUAAUUCGGAUGGGUCUUCUUCUACAUGGUGACUAUUGACGCAAAUAUGGACUGCACUUCCUUCCCAUCUUCUACAUAGCCUAUACCUAGCAGCACCGUAGAUGAGCCCAUCAACAACAUGAUGGAGACCAGUCGUACUUCUUGAUCCGGUAUCUAAACCAUUGGUCGUCAGUGUUGUUGCGGAAGGUGCGGAGGAGGGAGAAGGUUUUGCCGAUAACUGGCACAACGAGGUUAGGUGUAGGUCUGGGCGUUGGUGCUGGUGGAGGCGCAACACUGGAGCUCGGCCAUGACUCGGUCGGACAUCACUUUGAGCCAUCAUAAAAAUAUCAUGAUCAUCUUUUGGCGAAUAAAAAGGUGUUUAUAACCUCAUAAGCAAAGACCUGUGGUGUUGCUUGUAUAUUUAGAGAUACUAUGGGAAUUGAUACACUCAUAGCUUAUUUUUCUUAGUUGUAUGUUGUGUUGUCACUUAUUUUUCUGAUCUCUGUCGUGCAUAUGUUUUGACUAAAUUAUGGUUGUUGUUUAUGGUUGUCAAAUUAAGCCAUUGAUAGAGAUAAGCAAAAGAGUUGUUGAUUGACCAAGCAGAGAGACAACUUAGAGACACUAUAACAGUUAGGAAUUUAAGUAGUGGGACCAAAUUAUGUCAUGCUUUAUAACAGGUCAUCGAUUCUUCAUGUAGCUCACUACUUGAUUCUAACACCUUUUCUUUGGAUACAACAAGAAUCAUACCCACCCACGCGGCGACACGAUGCAGAAGGGCUAUAUGGGUCUAUAGCGGCGCGUGCAAUGGAAGGACAACUAUGGGAACAAGCUCAUCGAAGUCUUGGAAUUCCAACCUAGAUAAACAAGUGAACUAAUUUUAACAAUUUCCCUUUUUUGCGAUGCAGGCUAGCUCAUUCUUUAAGGGCUACUCAACUCUGUUUUUGCCCUCCCUUUGGAGAUUGGAUUAUAUGGCACUCUGUGUUGAAGGCUCUUCAUGCCAAAUUUAAUAAAUCUUGUCAUGUUUUCAUAGGUUGCCUAUUUUCUCACUCUACAUGGAAUGGUGAACGUUUGUAGCAUGGUCAGUUGGUCAGGUUUUGAUUAUUUUUAUCACUGCACAUACCUUCAGAAAAUAACCCAAUGAGGCUGAUACGUCUCCAACGCAUCUAUAAUUUUUGAUUGUUCCAUGCAGUUUUAUUAUCAAUCUUGGAUGUUUUAUAAUCAUUUUAUAUCAUUUUUUUAGUACUAACCUAUUGACAUAGUGCCAAGUGCCAGUUGUUGUUUUUCCAUGUUUUUUACAUCGCAGAAAA